ACAUUACAUUUGCUGAAUCCCGGACUUGUCCGGGUACGGAGGAACCAAUUCAGGGGUUAAUCCAUGUUCUGCAUGGUAGGGAUCCUUCUAUCCCGAACCCGUCAGCUAACUUCGGAAGCGAUUUAAGGAAGGAGUG
rnacentral:sRNA from 2 species